UUCAUCAUCAGAGAUACACCACCACCACGGCACCACCCCUCUUAAACCUUCACCGCCGGAUCUGCCCCACACCAACCAAUAACCAUACCAAUCUGCCUCACUCUCACCAAAUCAACACCUCCAAACUCCCACCAGACGCCCGGACUUAUUCUCCCCCAUGAACGAAUUGGACGUUCCCUGAACCGUGACCUCAGCGCCGGAGUCGAACGAAAGCUCGAGCCACUGGCAGUCUCCAGAGCUUCUUUUGGCCGAAGAUUGAGCGGCGAAGAUGUACUCAUCCAGAAUGUUCAAUUUGAAGAAAUUCAUGUAUCAAUAAAUCUGUUUUUCCGGCAGCGGAUCUUGGCCGGCCGGAGGAUAAUUUUAGAGUUGCGGGAGAAACACAGAAGGGGUGGAGAUGGAAAUCAAAGAGGUGGGCCUACGGGAGCUUUUUAAAGAUUAAUUAAGUUUUAUAUUGUUUAAAUUGGUUUUUUAAUUAGUAAGGGCAAUUCUGUCAGUUACAUGGAUUUAACUAAGAAAACUAACGGUCAUCAACUCCGGGGACUAUCCGAGUAACCAAUGAUCAAACCACAGAGAACAUACAUGUUAUUUUAAAAAGAUGGGGACUAAACGUGGAAAAAUGGCAAACCACAUGGACCAAACGGCCUCCUAUUUAUCGGAUGUAAAUCCUCAUUCUCUCCCGCCCUAACCUUCGAUGGUUAUUUUCUUCUCCACCAAAUGUCCAGGAGAUAGUGUUUAAAUCUGUAUUUUGCUGCUUGAUAUUGGUAUAAUCACUUUUGUCAUUGUUAAUUGUCGUGAAAUUCAGAUUAUUGAAGGAAUAGCAGAGAAAAUAAACUUAUAGAAUGAUGGUAUAUAAGUUGCAGGUACAACUAGUAUGAAACCAACUAUUGAAAAAAGAUCACCAGACCUCUAUAUAUGCAGUUAUGAGUAUU
rnacentral:lncRNA from 1 species